GAUACCAUCGUUAUUGAGUUCUCUUGUGCUGUCCAUUUCUUCCACAAACCCAUUGUCACAGAAUGGGCAUUUAAUCUCAGCUUCCAUUAUGGGACUCACCAUCUGAGAGCACAUGUGACACCAAUACCGGGCUGCCAUUGUUUCCUCCAUUCUUUCUCUCUCCCCUCCUCCAGCAACCACCCUUUUCUUGUAAUCUCCAAAAGUGGAUUUGAAUGGCAGAUUUGGUGGAGAAAAAUACGUCUAGAUUUUGUGUCGAGGAGAGAAGAAAAAGCAAGAGAACAGAAUGAAUAGACACAGUUAGGUUCGCAUUAUACAACACAACCAAAACGCG
rnacentral:misc_RNA from 1 species